UCCUGGGGAGCCAGGAGCGGAGUGGAGAAAGGGCUAGACGUUAGGGCGCUGGGAAGCUGCCUUAGGCAAGACAGGGGAGAGCGGGAGGGAGGCGGGAGAGCAGGCCCCACCCCCACCUGCCCACCAGCCCUCACCCUCUGCAGGGUAAAAUGCUGCUGGUCACUCUCGGGGGGCAGGCCGUCGCCCACAAACUGCAGCUCUAGGGCCACGUGGGGGAGCAGGACCAAGAGCUCCUGAAGGACAGAGAAGACAGAUCAGGGGCUCACCUUGCGCGCACCUCCACGUACCCAACCUUCUGUCCCGGAGGGACUUACCCAAAACACCAUGACCAGGUCAAACUCCUUCCCGGCCUCCACCACGUGGAUUUUCAGUGACUGCUUGUUCUGGAUGUUGAGCUCAGGGACUGGGGGAGAAGCUGGCCACUUAAGAAGACGGUCUCCCUUCCCCUCGUCCCCCUCCAGCCCCCUGCCCCCCUGCCCCCUGCACUUCUGUCCCCUUGCUCGGCUCUCCUUACAGGACUGGGGCACCAGGAGUUGUAUUCCCCGGAGCUGCAAGCAAGAGCAGUGGACAGUGGCCUGUGGGCUGAGGGGCCCGUGCCUGAAGAGAACCCCACGAACCACUGAGAAGAAGGCUGAGGGAUGGCGUGCUGCCCCGGGGGUGCCUGGGCGUGCCAGGGCCUGGAAUCAGCAUGCUGAGCUGGGUCCAGUAGCCACGAGUGA